ensembl:snRNA U1 U1 spliceosomal RNA
ACACUUAUCUGGCUGGGAAGAUACCAUGAUCAUGAAGGUGGUUCCCAGAGUGAGGCUCAUCCAUUGCACUUUGGUUGUGCUGACCGCUGUGAUUUCCCCAAAUGCAGAAUUUGUAGUAGUGAGGGACUGUGUUCGUGCUUUCCCCUG